UAAAUACUCCCUCCGUCCCAAAAAUUUUGUCUUAAAUUUGUCUACAUACGAAUGUAUCUAUUCAUGUUCUAGUGUUAGAUACAUCCGUAUCUAGAUAAAUCUAAGACAAGAAUUUUGGGACGGAGGGAGUAUAUC
rfam:Triticum aestivum genome assembly, contig: Triticum_aestivum_CS42_TGACv1_scaffold_147037_2BS